rnacentral:rRNA from 1 species
UAUGUGAUCGUCUCUCGCAUAUCAAUAAGCGGAGGAAAAGAAACUAACAAGGAUUCCCCUAGUAACGGCGAGUGAAGCGGGAAGAGUUCAAAUUUGAAAUCUUAAAGGGUUUCCCUUUACGAAUUGUAGUUUAAAGAAGUGUUUUCUGUUGAGGUUUUGGUAAAAGUUCUUUGGAAUAGGACAUCAUAGAGGGUGAGAAUCCCGUAUUUGACCUUUACUUUCAACUUUGUGAUACACUUUCAAAGAGUCGGAUUGUUUGGGAAUGCAGUCCAAAAUGGGUGGUAAAUUUCAUCUAAAGCUAAAUAUUGGCGAGAGACCGAUAGCGAACAAGUACCGUGAGGGAAGGAUGAAAAGAACUUUGAAAAGAGAGUUAAACAGUACGUGAAAUUGUCAAAAGGGAAGCGUUUGACACCAGUGUUGUUUUUCUGAAAAUCAAUUAAAGAACUGUUUAUGCUAAGUUGUUUAGACUUUAUCAGCUAACUGUUUAGUUUUGAGCUUUUCUUUAAUGCACUUUUCAGUUAACAAGUCAACAUCAAUUUCUUUUGCUGUAAAAAAGCUUGAGGAAGGUGGCUUGAGAUUCGUCUUAAGUGUUUAUAGCCUCUUGCCUAUGCAGUCGGAGAGAUUGAGGUCUGCAGCGUAGAUCCUUCGGGGCUAAAUGCAUUUGUGCUAAGUUAUAGCAUUUUAUAGACAACUUGUUGACUAUGAUUUGUCUUGUAGCUUACUCGCUUAUGUUAUUUUACCUACGCUUAGGAUGUUGACACACGCGCGUGCUCG